rnacentral:rRNA from 1 species
AGCUUGCUGGGUGGAUUAGUGGCGAACGGGUGAGUAACACGUGAGUAACCUGCCCCCGACUCUGGGAUAAGCCCGGGAAACUGGGUCUAAUACCGGAUAUUACCUUUGACCGCAUGGUUGUUGGUGGAAAGAUUUAUCGGUGGGGGAUGGACUCGCGGCCUAUCAGCUUGUUGGUGAGGUAAUGGCUCACCAAGGCGACGACGGGUAGCCGGCCUGAGAGGGUGACCGGCCACACUGGGACUGAGACACGGCCCAGACUCCUACGGGAGGCAGCAGUGGGGAAUAUUGCACAAUGGGCGAAAGCCUGAUGCAGCGACGCCGCGUGAGGGAUGACGGCCUUCGGGUUGUAAACCUCUUUCAGUAGGGAAGAAGCGAAAGUGACGGUACCUGCAGAAGAAGCGCCGGCUAACUACGUGCCAGCAGCCGCGGUAAUACGUAGGGCGCAAGCGUUAUCCGGAUUUAUUGGGCGUAAAGAGCUCGUAGGCGGUUUGUCGCGUCUGCCGUGAAAGUCCGAGGCUCAACCUCGGAUCUGCGGUGGGUACGGGCAGACUAGAGUGAUGUAGGGGAGACUGGAAUUCCUGGUGUAGCGGUGAAAUGCGCAGAUAUCAGGAGGAACACCGAUGGCGAAGGCAGGUCUCUGGGCAUUUACUGACGCUGAGGAGCGAAAGCAUGGGGAGCGAACAGGAUUAGAUACCCUGGUAGUCCAUGCCGUAAACGUUGGGCACUAGGUGUGGGGGACAUUCCACGUUUUCCGCGCCGUAGCUAACGCAUUAAGUGCCCCGCCUGGGGAGUACGGCCGCAAGGCUAAAACUCAAAGGAAUUGACGGGGGCCCGCACAAGCGGCGGAGCAUGCGGAUUAAUUCGAUGCAACGCGAAGAACCUUACCAAGGCUUGACAUGUGCCAGACCGCCUCAGAGAUGGGGUUUCCCUUCGGGGCUGGUUCACAGGUGGUGCAUGGUUGUCGUCAGCUCGUGUCGUGAGAUGUUGGGUUAAGUCCCGCAACGAGCGCAACCCUCGUUCCAUGUUGCCAGCACGUAAAGGUGGGGACUCAUGGGAGACUGCCGGGGUCAACUCGGAGGAAGGUGGGGAUGACGUCAAAUCAUCAUGCCCCUUAUGUCUUGGGCUUCACGCAUGCUACAAUGGCCGGUACAAUGGGUUGCGAUACUGUGAGGUGGAGCUAAUCCCUAAAAGCCGGUCUCAGUUCGGAUUGGGGUCUGCAACUCGACCCCAUGAAGUCGGAGUCGCUAGUAAUCGCAGAUCAGCAACGCUGCGGUGAAUACGUUCCCGGGCCUUGUACACACCGCCCGUCAAGUCACGAAAGUUGGUAACACCCGAAGCCGAUGGCCUAACC